rnacentral:rRNA from 1 species
AUUGAACGCUGGCGGCAUGCUUUACACAUGCAAGUCGAACGGUAACAGGGUGCUUGCACCGCUGACGAGUGGCGAACGGGUGAGUAAUGCGUCGGAACGUGCCGAGUAGUGGGGGAUAACGCAUCGAAAGGUGUGCUAAUACCGCAUACGUACUGAGGUAGAAAGUGGGGGACCUUCGGGCCUCACGCUAUUCGAGCGGCCGACGUCUGAUUAGCUAGUAGGUGAGGUAAAGGCUCACCUAGGCGACGAUCAGUAGCGGGUCUGAGAGGAUGAUCCGCCACACUGGGACUGAGACACGGCCCAGACUCCUACGGGAGGCAGCAGUGGGGAAUUUUGGACAAUGGGCGAAAGCCUGAUCCAGCCAUGCCGCGUGUCUGAAGAAGGCCUUCGGGUUGUAAAGGACUUUUGUCAGGGAGGAAAUCCCUAGUGCUAAUAACACUGGGGGAUGACAGUACCUGAAGAAUAAGCACCGGCUAACUACGUGCCAGCAGCCGCCGCAGUAA